UCACAAGUCGAGCGGAAACGAGUUAUCUGAACCUUCGGGGAACGAUAACGGCGUCGAGCGGCGGACGGGUGAGUAAUGCCUAGGAAAUUGCCCUGAUGUGGGGGAUAACCAUUGGAAACGAUGGCUAAUACCGCAUAAUACCUACGGGUCAAAGAGGGGGACCUUCGGGCCUCUCGCGUCAGGAUAUGCCUAGGUGGGAUUAGCUAGUUGGUGAGGUAAUGGCUCACCAAGGCGACGAUCCCUAGCUGGUCUGAGAGGAUGAUCAGCCACACUGGAACUGAGACACGGUCCAGACUCCUACGGGAGGCAGCAGUGGGGAAUAUUGCACAAUGGGCGCAAGCCUGAUGCAGCCAUGCCGCGUGUGUGAAGAAGGCCUUCGGGUUGUAAAGCACUUUCAGUCGUGAGGAAGGUAGUGUAGUUAAUAGCUGCAUUAUUUGACGUUAGCGACAGAAGAAGCACCGGCUAACUCCGUGCCAGCAGCCGCGGUAAUACGGAGGGUGCGAGCGUUAAUCGGAAUUACUGGGCGUAAAGCGCAUGC
rnacentral:rRNA from 1 species